GCUAUGUUGUCUUUGGUUAUCUAGCUGUAUGAGUGAUAAAUAACGUCAUAAAGCUAGCUUACCGAAGUUAAUAUUAGC
ensembl:ncRNA mir-9a mir-9a stem loop